rnacentral:rRNA from 1 species
AUGAACGCUGGCGGCGUGCCUCAUACAUGCCAGUCGAGCGCACAGACGAGGAGCUUGCUCCUCUGACGUUAGCGGCGGACGGGUGAGUAACACGUGGAUAACCUACCUAUAAGACUGGGAUAACUUCGGGAAACCGGAGCUAAUACCGGAUCAUAUAUUGAACCGCAUGGUUCAAUAGUGAAAGACGGUUUUGCUGUCACUUAUAGAUGGAUCCGCGCCGCAUUAGCUAGUUGGUAAGGUAACGGCUUACCAAGGCAACGAUGCGUAGCCGACCUGAGAGGGUGAUCGGCCACACUGGAACUGAGACACGGUCCAGACUCCUACGGGAGGCAGCAGUAGGGAAUCUUCCGCAAUGGGCGAAAGCCUGACGGAGCAACGCCGCGUGAGUGAUGAAGGUCUUCGGAUCGUAAAACUCUGUUAUUAGGGAAGAACAAAUGUGUAAGUAACUAUGCACGUCUUGACGGUACCUAAUCAGAAAGCCACGGCUAACUACGUG